UCACCGCCGGGUUUGCAGUAUGUGUAUUUAGGGCGUAUUCUCUAGACCAGCUGUCUAAAGUCCCACUUGUGGGCCUGGCGUUGUCAUAUGCAGAAUAAAACCGUCUAUAAAAGGAGGUGGGCCGGGGCCGUUGGUGCCUUCUUCCAGGUAGAGAGACUCGUGGCAGGUAGGAUUUUUCUGCCCAGGGCUGGCAUUUGGCUUAGCUGCCUACGACAGUGUCCAUGCUGACUGGUUGAUGCCUGCUGCUGAGUAUUUUGAAUAUCACCCCUGGUCGUUAACCUGCUGCAUUUGGGGUUCUCUGAUUCCGGAUGGACUUCUGUUUGACAAAAUUUAACCAGCUGGCUCAAAGAAUAUAUAUGGCUCUUGGUUUUUCCUUGGCUGUUUCUUGUGGGGAAAAGGGGAAGAAAAUUCUCAAAGAUUCUAAACCCCUUGCAGCGAGGGGCUGAGUCUUCUGCUUCCUUGAUCUGCCCCUGACUUCCCACGUAUUCCCCUGUGCUCGGAACUCGGGGGCCUACCCAUCCACUGACCGUUCACUUCAAAAAAUAACUGAGAGAUACUAAACGCUGAUGCUUCUGUUCACCUGGUGGAAAAUGCUCCAUAUAAAUGCACAGCAUUAUUAUACGAUUGCUAGAAAGCCCCAAAGAGGGAACUGACCUUUUUCAAGUUAAGGCACGUUAUACCCUUGCGCUACAUGUUCCAUAAGUUCUGGAAUAAAAGUCAAAGCCUCCAAAAGGUUAAUAAUCUCAACUGGAGAGGGAAUUCUUUUCAGGAAAGGACGAUGAUCUUUCUUAUCUGCUUCUAACACCAGGUUGUAGGUCCAACUGCAUUUUUAGGGGGAAAAAAGGGAAUGGAGUUGAUAAACCAGUGUACCAUUUUAAACUCCAAAACAUUACUCCUUCAUCUGCCUUCUAGCUAUGGGGUCCUGGGAAGGCCAUUGCAUCCUUAUUUCUAAAAUGAAGACUUGGGCCAAACGUCCUCAAAAGACCCCUGCAGCUCUAGCAUUUUAUGAUUUAACAGAAACAUUAAGAAGUAGCAGUUGUGUUGGGCCUGUCCAGGAGGUAGGUGCAAUGUUCUUGGGGGUUGUAUGUGAUUUGCCCUGUGUGGGAAUGGAAAGCUUCAGCCAACAGAGAGUCCCACUGGGAUUCCGGAGUUCUGGAAGUUCAUGGAGUCUCAAUGGCUGGAGAAGCAGCCGAUAUAUUGCAGUGGUUCGGAGCGCGAGGGAGCAAGGCUGGGACCCAGGUGCUGCCCCUUCCUCAGUGUGUGCCAUUGGACACGUUGCUUAGCCACUCUUAAAGCCUCACCUGUCAGAUGUGCACAAUAAAGUCCCAACUCUGAUGGGCCAUUGGGGGAUUAAAGGAGGCACUCCUGUGGUUCCUGGGACACGGUCUAUGGUCGGUAAAUGGCGUUGUCAACAUUGUUUCUCAUCUGUGGCAGACGAUCACAUAGAGGGUGGCAUGGACAAUCUCUAAGGGCCCGUCCGGCUCUCGACAGCUGUAAUUUUUAUGGCUUUGUGGAAAAUGUAGCGGCAGAUGACCUCCAGGAUGUUAGGUUAACUGGUGUUCGGGGAAUGAGGCCAAAGUUCACGUAAGAGCUCCGAGCCUAUGAGAGUGGCAAAUGCUAUUUUUAGGUUAUGUUACUGACACAAGGCGCCUUUUUAGUCACCAUGCUUCUUGCAUGCCUUCUUGCUCUGCAGUGGCACUUAUAGCUUUCUGGGAGGUGGGGGAAGCCAGGGGGAUAUUUUGUGACACCCCCUGCUAGAGGCUCAAGAGACAGAGCUCCUGACCUCUCAGAAAUGUGCUGCCCGAGGAAACCAGUUCCUUGAGUGAAUCUGAAAUGAUCACAAAGGAAAUCAGGUCGGAUCUGGGCACAGACAGGGAGGAAGUGCUGGCUCAGGGCUGUGUCUGGCCUCGCUCACGACCCAGCUCUGGGUCCAAAGUCCACAAGCCCGGGGCCCUUUGCUGGAUGCUCACAGGAGACUGUCUUGGGCUUGUGCAAAUGGAUGUUCUUCUGGGUGCCCUGGCCUGGACUCUGGCAGUACUGGAAUGUCACUGGAGACCUUUGGGGCUUUCUCUCCAGUCUGUGACAUGCUUCUGACUGUGACUUGGCCUGACAUGGCUGGGGCAGGACGGUGGAAGGUAGCUUAAGUAUGCGGAUGGCGUGGCUGGGCUUGGGAGGCCUCCGAGCAGAAGAAAUUAGUGACUGAUGACGCAUCCUGAAACUUACCACCAGUAACUGUCUAUUAAGGGGCUCUUGCAUUUCCAUGAGAUCUUUGGCCUUAAACCUGUUGUAGCCAAAGCCCAACUUUUAGGGUAAAACUAAAACUUAAAAUUGAAAGUUAAAAUAAUUUUCUAAAAUCAAUGUAAGGCAUGGCAAAUUGUUGAGAGAAAAGACCGAUUCAAAGGCCACUUGUAGUUAAUAGUAAAUAACAGAACCUGUAAACCAAAUUGAAUGAUCUGUUAACAGCACAGAAAAGGAAACUGAAGUUAAUGCAGAUUUAAAAAAGCACUGCACCUGGUGUGUUUAAUUUGAGAUAUUGCAUUUUCAAAACCCCCUCCACCACGUGCCACUUGUCCCCUGCAUUUCUGUCUUGACAGGCAAUGCCCAUCUUCUUGUGGAAGAAUGGCAAAGAGUGGUUUCUUUUACAAGUCCAGGACCUUCUGUUGGCUGUGGGCUUCCCCCAAUACCUGUAAGACAGCAUCGUCAGGCACAAGGUUGAGACUGCUGAUUAGAGAGAUCAAUGAUGUGAUUAGAGGCAUGCAGAUGAGUAAUAUUUAAAAAAAUUCAGUUAUUCAUUUUGAGACCAUCUAAUCAAGGAGCAAUUAAAACAGAAGUUGAGAACUGAAAUCCAGGAAGCUAAAAUGAAUCACAUUAGACCCACAACUCCUACCAGUGACUUUUUAUUUAUCAGCCUCCAAGAGCAACUGAAUGUCACCUCCCUGGAGUGGCCUGCUUAGAUCAAUCCCACCCUCCGGUUCCUGCCCCAUCUGUGCCCCGCAGUGUAUUCCUUGGUCACGAAGGGCACCUUCCUCCUUACCUCUGCCGCCUCCAGUGCACCAGGGCUGUGCCUGGCUCUGACUUUGUUCUGGUCAUGAUAAUCUACUCAUCUCUCCAGUGUAGCUCCAAGGCUCCUCUCUCUGCCACAGCUACCCAUCACAGGCAGCACUGAGGCUUCCGUCUGCUGCGUGGAUAACCUGCCUGGGAGUUGACCCCCAACCUGCACUGGUCUCUGGCACACGUGAUCGUCUCUGGCUUUUGACUCUUCACCUGCUUGGCGAUGUUCCCAACCUGUUAGAGUCUGAGUACUCCCAGGGUUCAGCAAGUUCCAGCCCUGGUUAGCCUAGACAUUCCCGCCCCUGCCUUCUCCUCUCCUCUUCUGUGUGUGUUGCUGUCUCUGUGUGCCGACGAUGUGUGCCCAGUCCUGCACACGCCCAACUCUUCUCACAGGAUGCUGCCCUGCAGUGGCUGCUGGCUCUCUGAAUUGCUGGCUGUGUCAUGGAAAGACACGGGACUGGAGCCAGAGACUCUGGUCCAGACUUUCUACUUUCUGGUUGUACCAUCUUAAGUCACAUGACCUCUUUGAGACUGUUUUCGCAUCUGCAAAAUGGAGAUGAUGAUGAUGAUAAUGACCCUUACCUGGCUUACCUUAAAAGUGAUUACGAGGACAGUGGUGUUGGGCAUAUUUUUGGGUUUUUAUUUGUUAUCAUAUCUGGUGAAGUGACUGUUCAAAUCUUUCACCCAUUUGAAAAAAUGGAUCGUUUGCUUUCUUUUAUUGAAUUUUGUAAGUUCUUCAUAUAUUCUAGAUACAAAUCUUUCACCAGAUAGACACUUAAAAAAUAUCACCAGCUAUACACUUUCCAAAAAUCUCUCCCAGAUGUGCUUAUCUUUCCAUUCUCUUAAUAAUAUCUUAAGGAGGGCAAAAGAUUUUAGUUUUGAAAAAGUUCAGCAUAUUAUUUUAUAAAUGCUUUUGUUUUUCCUUUU